rnacentral:rRNA from 1 species
UAGCGUAUGUUAAAGUUGUUGCGGCUAAAAAGCUCGUAGUUGGAUUUCUGUUGAGGACGAGUGGUCCGCACUCUGUGCGCGCAUCUACUUUGGCCUCGGCAUCCGCUCUGCAUACGUGUCUGCGCUUAAUUGCGUGGUACGGAGGUAGGGCCUUUUACUUUGAGGAAAUUAGAGUGUUCACGGCAGGCAUCGCCUUGAAUAUGUUAGCAUGGAAUAAUAACAUAGGAUCCCGGUUCUAUUUUGUUGGUUUCUAGGGCUAGGAUAAUGAUUAAUAGGGACAAUUGGGGGCAUUCGUAUUGCGGCGUC